GACGAACGCUGGCGGCGUGCCUAAUACAUGCAAGUAGAACGAUGAGGGAGGAACUUGCUCUUCUGGAUGAUUUGCGCACGGGUGAGUAACACGUAGGUAACCUGCCUGGAAGCGGGGGGGAACACUUGGGAACACUAGCUAAUACCGCGUAAAAGUUAAUGUACCAUAAGAUUUACUUGAAAGGUGCAGUUGCACCACUACCAGAUGGACCUGCGUUGUAUUAGCUAGUUGGUGGGGUAACGGCGGACCAAGGCGACGAUGCAUAGCCGACCUGAGAGGGUGAUCGGCCACACUGGGACUGAGACACGGCCCAGACUCCUACGGGAGGCAGCAGUAGGGAAUCUUCCGCAAUGGACGGAAGCCUGACCGAGCAACGCCGCGUGAGUGAUGAAGGUCUUCGGAUCGUAAAGCUCUGUUAUAAGGGAAGAACGAGUGUGUGAGUAGCAAUGCACGUCUGGACGGUAAUUUUACAAGAAACGGACGGUUACUACCGGC
rnacentral:rRNA from 1 species